rnacentral:lncRNA from 10 species
CUCCCUGGAGGCAGCCUGAGUUUUCUGUCCCCUGGUAUGCUGCAGAUACUCUCCACAGAAACAAGCAGAUGCACAUGUCAACAGUUUUGCAAGUGUUGCUCUUUUCCCCCACCUUCUUUUGACAUAGCUGGGGCAGUUUCCAUCUCUGGUAUAAGGUGCCAUCUUAUUCCAUCUCUGGUGUAAGAGUGUGUUGCUGGAUUUGAGUAGUUCUAAGCAGCACUGCAGGAGUCCCCCUGUUCUGCUGCAUCAUUUUGCACACAUAUGUGUCUGUGGAAGACAUGGCCCGGUGGGGCCCCACCUUGCUGGGGGAGAGGGAUGUGUGUGUGAUGGUGGUGCAUGCUUCCCCCUUGCUACUCCAGGUGUCUGCCCCAUCCCUUCACCCUGGAGGUUCCAGACAGCCCCUCUUCACCAGCGAUUCCCCAACUCAUCUCCAGCUCAGAUCCCACCCCUGAUCUCCAGACUCAUGGCCCCAGCUGCCUCCUGGGCUCCUUCCCCAGGAUGUGCCUCAGGGGCCACUAAAGGAGCCAGUGCCUCCCACCUGCCCGGAUCGGGUGCUCCUCCAGGGAUCUUUGUUCCAGUGAGUGGUGCCAUCACCUGCCCAACCUCAUGGACCAGAGCACUGCCCUGUCCCAAUCACGUUCUCCUAUGCACCACCAUACCUACCCCUAAAGUUCUUCCUGGCCUCAUCCCGUCACCUCUGUCUCCAUGGCCUUGGUCCCAGCUCAAGCCUCGUCCUCUGCCACCUGGACCAUCGGCCCAGCCUCCUCUUUGGCCUCCCAGCCCCCAACAUCCCCCCCUCAGUCCAUCCCCCUAAUGGAGAGCUUCCUGACACUAGAGCUGACCUCACUACUCCCCUGCUCACAGCCCUCCGCGUGGCCUCUCACCUCCCCCAGGAUAGAGUCCCAACCCAUCCUUCUGUGUCUCCUCCUCUCUGUGUCCACUGUCCUGACCCUAACUCAAUCCUCAUUCUCUGCCUCCUGGACCCUCAUCCUAGCCUCGUGACUUCUGGUCUAAGAUGUGAGAGCACCUGGCAAGGUAAAUGCUCCAGGAGGGGUUGCUCCCUCCCAUUUCCUGCCACCAGAAAAUGUUAUCGGCUGCGUGGCAUUGCGAAAGCCUUCCUCUUCCCAGCCUAGGGUUUCAUGUGGGCAUUUAGGUGCUCCCAGUACAUAGUUGCAUGGCAAACAAUCCUAAAAUAUACAAGACUACAUUUAGUAUUUUGUAAAAUUCUUUACUAACCCCAAAUUGUCUACUGGAAACUAUAGGCUCCUUUUUUUUUGGUGGGUGGGGGGCAGGUGUGUUUGUGGGAUGGAGUUUCACUUGUCACCCAGGCUGGAGUGCAGUGGCUCAAUUUUGGCUCAAUGCAACCUCCACCUCCCAGGUUCAAGCAAUUCUCUUGCCUCAGCCUCCUGAGUAGCUGGGAUUACAACCGUGUGCCACCACACCCAGCCAAUUUUUGUAUUUUUAGUAGAGACCGGGUUUCACCAUGUUGGCCAGGCUGGUCUUGAACUCCUGACCUCAAGCGAUCCACCUUAGUCUCCUAAAGUGCUGGGAUUACAUGUGUGAGCCACCGCCCCUGGCCUCUGUAGGCUUCUUUAACCCAUCAGAGAGACUCCCUGGUAAGGAUUAGGGGCUAAUUACUGGUGCCUCUUCAGCUGUCAGUCCAUCCUCCUUUAUUUGUACCCACCUUCCAGUCAGCAAGGCACAACAAUGUUGUUACAAAGGAAACAAACUCAAUUUGGCCCAUUUCCUGGAAAUGCAAUCUCCCAAACAGGUUUGUGUGAACCAAAUUCCAUUUUCCUUUGUUUCCCAUGUGCAGUCCCAGUUGCAUUUCCAUGGGAGCCAAUCCACCCACCCAUAGAAUGACUUGAAAAUGUGUGAAGUUCAGAAGUUUCAUACCAAGAAGUUUGCUGAGCAUGAUGUUUGUAUAUUGAUUAGGAGUAAAAAUGUUCAUUUUUAC